AUGGAGGUCGCUGCUGGGGCGAUGGGCCCCGUCAUCCGUAAGCUCGGCGAGCUGCUCGUCGGAGAAUACAACCUAGAGAAACGAGUAAAGAAAGGCGUACAAUCGCUCCUAAACGAGCUGGAGAUGAUGCACGCUGUACUUCGCAAGGUUGACGAGGUGCCGUCGGAACAGCUCGAGGAGCCGGUCCGAAUUUGGGCUGGCAAGGUGAGAGACCUCUCUUGCGACAUGGAAGACGCUGUUGACGACUUCAUGGUGCGUGUGGAUGAGGGUCCAAGCAGCAAUCCUACGAACAUGCGGAAUCGAGUCAAGAAGUUCCUCAAGAAGACCACCAAACUGUUUGGCAAGGGCAAAGCACUUCAUCAAAUCAGUGAUGCCAUCAAAGAAGCUCAGGAUCUUGCCAAGGAGUUGGCGGACCUGCGUAGAAGGUACGAGCUUGACACUCGUAGCACUAGCAAUGGUGCUACCAUUGACCCUCGUGUGUUAGCUCUGCACAAAGAUGUAGGGGAGCUUGUUGGCGUUGACCGCACAAGGGAUGAGCUUAUCAAAACACUGAUUUGUGAGGACGGGAGUUCCAAGGAGCAAUUGAAGACCAUCUCUAUUGUUGGUGUUGGUGGGCUAGGCAAGACAACGCUCACCAAAGCAGUCUAUGAGAAGAUCAAAGCCCAAUUUGAUUGCGUGGCUUUUGUCCCCGUGGGUCAGAACCCAGAUAUCAAGAAAGUUUUCAAGGACUUGCUCUAUGACCUUGACAAUGAAAAGUUCAGUGACAUUCAUAAUACAACAAGGGAUGAAAAUCUACUCAUCAAGCAAAUCAGUGAUUUCCUUGUGGAUAAGAGGUACCUGAUCAUGAUCGAUGAUAUAUGGGAAGAAGAAAUAUGGAGAUUUAUAAAUUGUGCUUUGUAUAAAAACAAACUCCAUAGUCGGGUAAUCACAACAACCCGCAAUGUGAGUGUGUCUGAAGCAUGUCUCUCUUCCAGUGAUGACAUGAUUCACAAAAUGGAACCUCUUUCUGAUGAAGACUCGCAGAUACUCUUCCAUAGAAGAAUAUUUCAAAGCGAGGAGAAAUGUCCAGAAGGUUUGCAUGAAGUAUCAAGAGAGAUAUUGAAGAAAUGUGGUGGUGUACCAUUAGCCAUCAUUACAAUAGCUAGCCUUCUAGUCAGUAACCAAAGGAUAAAGCAAAAAGAAGAAUGGAUGCAUGUGCACAGUUCGAUGGGCCGUGGAGUUACACAAGGUGGUAUUGUGAAGGACAUGAAGAGGAUAUUAUCACUCAGCUAUUAUGAUUUGCCAUCUCACCUGAAGCCUUGUUUGUUAUAUCUAAGCAUCUUUCCUGAAGACUCUGAGAUUAAGAGAGAUUGGCUGAUAUGGAGGUGGCUUGCUGAAGGGUUUAUCCUAGGUGACACAGAAGAAACUAGGCUGUUUGAGAUCGGAGAGAGCUACUUCAACGAGCUCAUGAACAGGAGCUUGAUCCAGCCAGCAGAAAUCAAUGAGGAAGGAACAAUAGUAAGUUGCCGUAUACAUGAUAUGGUGCUUGACCUUAUAUGCUCGCUCUCAAAUGAGGAGAAUUUUAUGUCCAUAUUGGAUAAUGCUGAGUGGCAUGCACCUAAUCUGCAAAGGAAAUUUCGUAGGUUAUCACUUCACAAUAUCAAGGCAAAGUGUCGGAACCAUCAGUUUGAUAGCACUAGCCUGUCAAAAGUGAGGACCUUUGCUGUCUUUUCUCCCGUUACUUGUGAUUGGUUGCCAUCUCUCUCAAGCUUCCAAUUUUUACGUGUGUUGGAUCUUGGAAAUUGUGGCAGCCGUAAAAGUAGCUCCGGUAUCAGCCUCAAGUAUGUAGGAAAUUUAAUUCACCUAAGGUACCUAGGGCUCAAGAAUGCAGAUGUUUGCGAACUCCCAAUGGACAUAGGCAAGUUGCAGCUUUUGCAGACACUGGAUAUAAGACACAGUAGUAUAAAAGAAUUACCUUCAAGUGUUGUACAGCUCAGAAAUUUGAUAUGCCUAUGUGUCAAUUUUACAGUGAGGCUGCCAAAAGGAAUGGGUAGCUUGAUGUCCCUUGAAGUGCUGGAACGAGUAGGCUUAUCCUCAUCUCCUCACAUUGUGAAAGAGCUGAGGCAUCUGACAGAGGUCAGGACGCUCGAAAUUGAUUGUGCUAACAUGGGUGAGGAUCUGAUUGAUGUAUUAAUCAAGUCUCUAGGCAACCUGCACAAAUUGCAAAAUGUGUGUAUUGAUGGUCGUGGCAGAUUUAAAGACCGCAUGGGUGAAAGCUGGGUGCCCCCUACAAACCUCCGUAGUUUUGAUUCUCCUUCGUGGUUCUCGCGACUUCCGAAGUGGGUUAAUUCAAUGGCGCUUCCCCUCCUCUCCACUCUGGAAAUAGAUGUGAUAGAAUUGCAAGGGGAUGGCAUUCAGAUCAUUGGGAUGUUGCCUGCUCUUCGGUUUCUGCGUCUGCGUGCACAUCGCGUGAUGGGAACGUUAGCUGUGACGGUCGAUGCAUUCCCAUCUGCGAGAUGUUGCAAGUUCUCCGGGUUCCCCAUGGUGCCGUGCCUUUUUCCACCUGGAGCUAUGCCAAGGGUUCAGCGCCUUCACUUCGAGGUCUCUGCGUGGUCGAUCGCGAGUGGUGAGGUUGACUGUGGCAUGGGCCACCUCCCUUCUCUAGAGAAUGUAGGGGUUGAUCUGAAGCGUGAGAAUUCCAGCGAUGAAGAGAUGGAGACAGCCAAGGCUUGGCUGAGACGGGCGGCAGAAGCCCAUCCAAAACGUCCCCUCCAAACAUCCAUUUUUUUGAUUCAUGGGGCUUCUUGUCUCCUUCGUCGUUCUUGA
rnacentral:rRNA from 1 species